GCGGGGGAUAACAGGAGGAAACUCCUGCUAAUACCGCAUAGCCAUGAGCACCGCAUGGAGCUCAUGCCAAAUAUCCUUUAUGGGAUAGCGCAGGGAUGGACCUAUGGCGCAUUAGCUGGUUGGCGGGGCAACGGCCCACCAAGGCAACGAUGCGUAGCCGGCCUGAGAGGGCGGACGGCCACAUUGGGACUGAGACACGGCCCAGACUCCUACGGGAGGCAGCAGUAGGGAAUUUUCGGCAAUGGGGGAAACCCUGACCGAGCAACGCCGCGUGAGCGAAGAAGGCCUUCGGGUCGUAAAGCUCUGUUGUAAAGGAAGAACGGCGCAUACAGGAAAUGGUAUGCGAGUGACGGUACUUUACCAGAAAGCCACGGCUAACUACGUGCCAGCAGCCGCGGUAAUACGUAGGUGGCGAGCGUUAUCCGGAAUCAUUGGGCGUAAAGAGGGAGCAGGCGGCCGCAAGGGUCUGUGGUGAAAGACCGAAGCUAAACUUCGGUAAGCCAUGGAAACCGGGCGGCUAGAGUGCGGAAGAGGAUCGUGGAAUUCCAUGUGUAGCGGUGAAAUGCGUAGAUAUAUGGAGGAACACCAGUGGCGAAGGCGACGGUCUGGGCCGCAACUGACGCUCAUUCCCGAAAGCGUGGGGAGCAAAUAGGAUUAGAUACCGGUAG
rnacentral:rRNA from 1 species